rnacentral:rRNA from 1 species
ACGGGUGAGUAAUAUAUCGGAACGUACCCUGGAGUGGGGGAUAACGUAGCGUAAGUUACGCUAAUACCGCAUACGAUCCAAGGAUGAAAGCAGGGGACCGCAAGGCCUUGUGCUCCUGGAGCGGCCGAUAUCUGAUUAGCUAGUUGGUGGGGUAAAGGCCCACCAAGGCAUCGAUCAGUAGCUGGUCUGAGAGGACGACCAGCCACACUGGAACUGAGACACGGUCCAGACUCCUACGGGAGGCAGCAGUGGGGAAUUUUGGACAAUGGGCGCAAGCCUGAUCCAGCAAUGCCGCGUGAGUGAAGAAGGCCUUCGGGUUGUAAAGCUCUUUUGUCAGGGAAGAAACGGUGAGGGUUAAUACCUCUUGCUAAUGACGGUACCUGAAGAAUAAGCACCGGCUAACUACGUGCCAGCAGCCGCGGUAAUACGUAGGGUGCAAGCGUUAAUCGGAAUUACUGGGCGUAAAGCGUGCGCAGGCGGUUUUGUAAGACUGUCGUGAAAUCCCCGGGCUCAACCUGGGAAUGGCGAUGGUGACUGCAAGGCUAGAGUUUGGCAGAGGGGGGUAGAAUUCCACGUGUAGCAGUGAAA